AACUGAACCAAAAGGCUUAAGAACCCUAAAUUCAAGAAUUGAAAUUAAAUCGAAACGGAGGGGAAUCAAGCGACUCCCCUAGAGGACUUUGAUUCCCCUCAACAAGAGCUACAUGAUAGUGAAGAAAUUUGAGACGAACGGAGCAAGAACAACCAACCUUCAAGGCAGAGGUCGAUGUGGAAACUGUCGUAUCUUGAAGCUGAUGAAGACGACAGAAAUCAGAGGACUUGUGCAUAUGGGAUGGCUUGGUAAUGCAUUUUGGACAAUAGAGAAGCUUAGCACACCGUGGCCCAUCAAGAUGGGAGUUUUGGACAACACCAAGAAUUGUGAAGAAAUUUGGAGAAUUAAAAAGAUAGUAUGUUUUAUAAAUGAAGGGAAAAGUAGGAUAAGGUUCAAGAUAGUUUGUUGACUUUGGUCAACUGUUUGACCAAAAAGACAAAAGUUGACCAAAAGUCAACUCUAGGAAAAAUGUGUAUUUUUUGUGUAAUCUUGAUUUUUGACUAUGUGUAAUGCACAUGAAUAUUUUUGAAAUAAAAAGGCCUUCUUGAAAUGAAAGAUGAACUUUCCAUCAAAA